ACAUGCAGUCGAGCGGACAGAAGGGAGCUUGCUCCCGGAUGUUAGCGGCGGACGGGUGAGUAACACGUGGGUAACCUGCCUGUAAGACUGGGAUAACUCCGGGAAACCGGAGCUAAUACCGGAUAGUUCCUUGAACCGCAUGGUUCAAGGAUGAAAGACGGUUUCGGCUGUCACUUACAGAUGGACCCGCGGCGCAUUAGCUAGUUGGUGGGGUAAUGGCUCACCAAGGCGACGAUGCGUAGCCGACCUGAGAGGGUGAUCGGCCACACUGGGACUGAGACACGGCCCAGACUCCUACGGGAGGCAGCAGUAGGGAAUCUUCCGCAAUGGACGAAAGUCUGACGGAGCAACGCCGCGUGAGUGAUGAAGGUUUUCGGAUCGUAAAGCUCUGUUGUUAGGGAAGAACAAGUGCGAGAGUAACUGCUCGCACCUUGACGGUACCGAACCAGAAAGCCACGGCUAACUACGUGCCAGCAGCCGCGGUAAUACGUAGGUGGCAAGCGUUGUCCGGAAUUAUUGGGCGUAAAGGGCUCGCAGGCGGUUUCUUAAGUCUGAUGUGAAAGCCCCCGGCUCAACCGGGGAGGGUCAUUGGAAACUGGGAAACUUGAGUGCACAACAGAGAGUGGAAUUCCACGUGUAGCGGUGAAAUGCGUAGAGAUGUGGGAGGAACACCAGUGGCGAAUGCGACUCUCUGGUCUGUAACUGACACUCUAGGAGCGAAAGCGUGAGGGAGCGAACAGGAGUACAUACCCCUGGUAGUCUCCGCCGCUACACGAUGAGUUGCUGACUGUUGCGGGGGGGUUCUCCCCCCUUACUGCUGCAGCUACAGAGUAACAGUCCGCCAUGGAGG
rnacentral:rRNA from 1 species